GUUAGUGUUCUCCUACAUUUCUUUUCCUUGCAUCCUACUUGCUUAGGGAUCAAAGUGUUGUUCGUGCGGUGGUUUUGGUCAACAUUUGUGACAGCGCGUGUUCGCACUGUGACCGUUUAUUCCCUGCCAAUCCGCCCGUGGGCCGGAAGAAAACUGUGAGCUUCAGACAACGUAAAAGUCUUCUUGGCUUUCACAUUUCACUGGCGUUCUGCAGUUAUCCUCACACACUACCAAAACACGGAUCCAAGUCUACAGUUCCGGAUAAACAUCACUCCCAGCUUUUCUUAUCCAUUACGAACGGAGCUGGUCACUCUUUGGCCCGCAAAGCCACGAACCUCAGCCAACACUCCUUCAGGGCUCCGUGGCUAGAUUUCCUCAGAAGCUCCAAGAAAGGACUUUUGCAGUAACCAUUUUCUCCUUUUCCCCUGGCAAAUACCAUAUCUCAAACUGGAGGAUCUUCUACAAACUGACUCCAAGAAUCACAGAUGAGUGAGAAGCAUCAGCUAAAGCAUCAACAUGAGGUUGAGCCAUGUGACUCACUUUGACCAAGAGAAUGUGAACCUGUAUGAAGCGCAUCGUGACUGACUAGUAUUACCUCUGCAUUUGUGGUUGAAGAAGUCUGUUUGCUCCUAUAAUCUUCCAAAAGAACAGUUUGCUCCAGUUCAGGUCUAUCCCUGGGCUACUCCGUGAAUAAAAUUACUGGAGGAACUUAAGUGAGCCCAGCAGAGCUGAGCUGAGGCAGAGUAGAAGCUGAUACACAAACCUGUGCCUGAGAAAUAAUUUUUGUACUUAAAAUGCAGUGCAAUUUGAGCAUAACUUUCCCACCACAAAGUAAGGCUGAAUAGCUAGAUCCUUUCUAAAGGUGUAAUGUAAAGAAAAAAAUAGAAUAAAGUAAUGAGAACAAA